CUUGAUUCAAGGCAAACUUGCCGAAAGGUGAGGACGCAAAGUUUCAGACCUACGGCCGCAAGUUUGGCUAUGGUGGCUGAACCGCCGAA
rnacentral:ncRNA from 1 species